rnacentral:rRNA from 1 species
AUACGUAGGUGGCGAGCGUUAUCCGGAUUUACUGGGUGUAAAGGGCGCGUAGGCGGGGGUGCAAGUCAGAUGUGAAAUCUAUGGGCUCAACUCAUAAACUGCAUUUGAAACUGUACUUCUUGAGUACUGGAGAGGUAGACGGAAUUCCUUGUGUAGCGGUGAAAUGCGUAGAUAUAAGGAAGAACACCAGUGGCGAAGGCGGUCUACUUGACAGCAACUGACGCUGAGGCGCGAAAGCGUGGGGAGCAAACAGGAUUAGAUACCCUGGUAGUCCACGCUGUAAACGAUGAAUACUAGGUGUGGGGGGACUGACCCCUUCCGUGCCGCAGUUAACACAAUAAGUAUUCCACCUGGGGAGUACGACCGCAAGGUUGAAACUCAAAUGAAUUGGCGGGG